rnacentral:rRNA from 1 species
UAGCAUAUCAAUAAGCGGAGGAAAAGAAACCAACAGGGAUUGCCCUAGUAACGGCGAGUGAAGCGGCAACAGCUCAAAUUUGAAAUCUGGCCUUCUGGUCCGAAUUGUAAUUUGUAGAGGAUGCUUUGGGCGCGGUGCCUUCCGAGUUCCUUGGAACAGGACGCCUUAGAGGGUGAGAGCCCCGUACGGUUGGACACCAAGCCUAUGUAAAGCUCCUUCGACGAGUCGAGUAGUUUGGGAAUGCUGCUCUAAAUGGGAGGUAAAUUUCUUCUAAAGCUAAAUACCGGCCAGAGACCGAUAGCGCACAAGUAGAGUGAUCGAAAGAUGAAAAGUACUUUGAAAAGAGGGUUAAAUAGCACGUGAAAUUGUUGAAAGGGAAGCAUUUAUGACCAGACCUUUGCUAGGUGGAUCAUCCGGUGUUCUCACCGGUGCACUUCGCCUAGCUUAGGCCAGCAUCGAUUUCUGUAGGGGGAUAAAGGUCUAGGGAACGUAGCUCUCUACGGAGAGUGUUAUAGCCCUGGGCGUAAUACCUUUACGGGGAUCGAGGUUCGCGCUUCGGCAAGGAUGCUGGCAUAAUGGUCAUCAAUGACCCGUCUUGAAACACGGACCAAGGAGUCGAACAUUUAUGCGAGUGUUUGGGUGUUAAACCCUCACGCGUAAUGAAAGUGAACGGAGGUGAGAGCCCUUAAGGGUGCAUCAUCGACCGAUCCUGAUGUCUUCGGAUGGAUUUGAGUAAGAGCAUAACUGUUCGGACCCGAAAGAUGGUGAACUAUGCGUGGAUAGGGUGAAGCCAGAGGAAACUCUGGUGGAGGCUCGCAGCGGUUCUGACGUGCAAAUCGAUCGUCAAAUCUGCGCAUGGGGGCGAAAGACUUAUCGAACCAUCUAGUAGCUGGGUUACCGC